GACGAACGCUGGCGGCGUGCUUAACACAUGCAAGUCGAACGGAAAGGCCCUGCUUUUGUGGGGUGCUCGAGUGGCGAACGGGUGAGUAACACGUGAGUAACCUGCCCUUGACUUUGGGAUAACUUCAGGAAACUGGGGCUAAUACCGGAUAGGAGCUCCUGCUGCAUGGUGGGGGUUGGAAAGUUUCGGCGGUUGGGGAUGGACUCGCGGCUUAUCAGCUUGUUGGUGGGGUAGUGGCUUACCAAGGGUUUGACGGGUAGCCGGCCUGAGAGGGUGACAGGCCACAUUGGGACUGAGAUACGGACCAGAGUACUACGGGAGGCAGCAGUGGGGAAUAUUGCACAAUGGGCGGAAGCAUGAUGCAGGAACGCAGGGUGCGGGAUGACGGCCUUCGGGUUGUAAACCGCUUUCGCCUGUGACGAAGCGUGAGUGACGGUAAUGGGUAAAGAAGCACCGGCUAACUACGUG
rnacentral:rRNA from 1 species